CCUACGGGUGGCAGCAGUGGGGAAUAUUGCACAAUGGGGGAAACCCUGAUGCAGCGACGCCGCGUGAAGGAAGAAGUAUUUCGGUAUGUAAACUUCUAUUAGCAGGGAAGAAAAUGACGGUACCUGACUCAGAAGACACGGCUAACUACGGGCCAGCAGCCGCGGUAAUACGUAGGGGGGAAGCGUUAUACGGAUUUACUGGGUGUAGAGGGAGCGUAGGCGGCGAUGCAAGUCAUAAGGGAAAGCCGGGGGCUCAACUCCGGGACUGCUUUUGAAACUGUACGGCUAGAUUGCGGGAGAGGCAAGUGGAAGUCCGUGUGUAGCGGUGAAAUGCGUAGAUAUUAGGAGGAACACCAGUGGCGAAGGCGGCUUGCUGGACUGUAAAUGACGCUGAGGCUCGAAAGCGUGGGGAGCAAACAGGAUUAGAUACCCGAGUAGUC
rnacentral:rRNA from 1 species